AUUGAUUCAGACCAAAUGUAUCAUAUCUUAAUGACAAUUAGGCAAACAUUUUUCACUAGUUCUUUUAUGUAUCUCUUUUAGAAUGACAGAGGAGAUUACGGAACAAAAAAGUCAAAAUUUAGAAUUUGACCUAGAUCUUUGACCUCGUUUUCUAUUCUUUGGACCAAGGACUUCAAAUCGACACGCCAUGGUUUACCAGUUACACACGC
rnacentral:lncRNA from 1 species